GCCCGGUUAGCUCAAUCGGUAGAGCGUAAGACUCUUACUUUCUCUUAAACAGAAACAGGCAUCUUAAGGCUGCGGGUUCGACCCCCGCAUCGGGCU